rnacentral:rRNA from 1 species
CCUACGGGGGGCAGCAGUGGGGAAUAUUGGACAAUGGGGGGAACCCUGAUCCAGCCAUGCCGCGUGUGUGAAGAAGGCCCUCGGGUUGUAAAGCACUUUCAGUGAGGAAGAACGCCUGGUGGUUAAUACCCAUCAGGAAAGACAUCACUCACAGAAGGAGCACCGGCUAACUCCGUGCCAGCAGCCGCGGUAAUACGGAGGGUGCGAGCGUUAAUCGGAAUUACUGGGCGUAAAGCGCGCGUAGGUGGCUUGAUAAGCCGGUUGUGAAAGCCCCGGGCUCAACCUGGGAACGGCAUCCGGAACUGUCAAGCUAGAGUGCAGGAGAGGAAGGUAGAAUUCCCGGUGUAGCGGUGAAAUGCGUAGAGAUCGGGAGGAAUACCAGUGGCGAAGGCGGCCUUCUGGACUGACACUGACACUGAGGUGCGAAAGCGUGGGUAGCAAACAGGAUUAGAUACCCCAGUAGUC